rnacentral:lncRNA from 1 species
AUGUUAUCGUCUGCUGAAGCACUAUUUGAAUCUGUCUAACGUUAGGCAUCGUUUGACCUUCUGUGGUAGGGUGGACUGAAAAAGGGCAAGCAUGAACGCACGCUGUCCUCACAAGAACAUGAUCUGGAAUUGCAGAGGAAAAGCUCUGAAUUGCCUAGAGAGCGUCUCUAACAAGCAAUGCGGUCAGGUCUUGUGUGAACUCUUGAAGGGUACUCUGAGAAAUGCUGUUCCUUCUUAGGAUGAGUGUCCUACAGACCACUGUUCCUCAGUUGCCCUUUAGAUUGCAAAGGAUUCUAGGAGAUGAAAGAAGUCUCUUAUUGUUAUCAAGAGCAGUUGAUCCAAAGCAACCUAACAUGAUGACGGAACUCAAAAUACUCUUUGCCAUCUCCUUUCUUGGAGAGGAAAACGUAUAAGAGAGAUACUGAAAUUGAAUAUUUGGGGCCAGACUCUUCUCUGUGGUGCCCAGUGACAGGACAAGAGGCAACAGGCACAAACUGAAGCACAGGAAGUUCCAUCUGAACAUGAGGAAAAACUUCUUUGCUGUGAGGGUGACUGCGCCCUGGAAGAGGCUGCCAAGAGAGGUUGUGGAGUCUCCUUCCCUGGAGAUGUUCCAAACUUGCCUGGACAUGAUCCUGGGCAAUGUGUUCUAGGUGACCCUGCUGGAGCAGGGGGCUUGGACUAGAUGAUCUCCAGGGGUCCUUUGCAACCUGGCCAUUCUGUGAGUCUGUAAUACUUCUUGAAUGCUUGUGAGGUGUUGGCAGGAACACAGGUGAGAGAUUUUGCCUGUAAAGCAAAUGCAGCUGUAACUUGUUAUGAUGUUGACAGUCUUUUUACUUUUUAUGUUACUUGUAGUUUAAAUUAAGAGACUUUUACCUGUUCUUAUGUAUUGAUCUAGUAUUAAAUCAGGAAAAAAAAAUAUAGCAGAGAAAAGUGUGGAUGUAAGUGGAAGGUUUCAAAGAACUGUAAUUGCUUCUUGUGAAGAAGAGAUUUAAUGAGCCAUAAGGUUUCUCUUGUCAGCAGCCCUUUACAAACAGUUGUUUCCUGUAUCUCUGAUGAGUAUGCAAAGAGAUAAUAAGCUUUGAAUUGUCACAAGGAAAGCUGAGGGUCAACUUGAGGGAGUUUUCUAAUGUUAUAUUGAAUGGAUGGAAUGGGUUGCCACAGGCUGUCGUGGGCUGUCCGUUAAAUUGAAGGACAACUUACCUCAAUGGAUAUGAGGCAGGGACCUAAUGUAAUCCCCUUAAUGACCUUAUCCAUUUGUCCCAUUAAUUAUUCUAAGGAGGGGAAGACAGAGUAAUUAUUUUUCAGAAUGACUGAUGCGACAUUGCCUGUAGAGGUUUGUCAUUAAUUUAAAAAACACUUUUUUUUAAAAAAGGAGAUUUUUCUCAAAGGAUCUUCUCUCUAUCUCUAAAUAAUUUGACCGGGUCAGAAUAGUUUGCAUUCAUACCUGAAGUCUUAAAUAAAAACUGAAUUCCGUAACUUGUAUGUAGCA